rnacentral:rRNA from 1 species
CCUACGGGUGGCUGCAGUGAGGAAUAUUGGUCAAUGGCCGGGAGGCUGAACCAGCCAAGUCGCGUGAGGGAAGACGGCCCUACGGGUUGUAAACCUCUUUUGUCAGGGAGCAAGGUGCAGGUCGGGACCUGCUGUGAGAGUACCUGCAGAUACCGCAUCGGCUAACUCCGUGCCAGCAGCCGCGGUAAUACGGAGGAUGCGAGCGUUAUCCGGAUUUAUUGGGUUUAAAGGGUGCGCAGGCGGAGGCACAAGUCAGCGGUAAAAUCGAGGGGCUCAACCCCGCUCCGCCGUUGAAACUGUUUCCCUAGAGUGCGCGAAGGGUAGGCGGAAUGCGUGGUGGAGCGGUGAAAUGCAUAGAGAUCACGCAGAAGUCCGAUCGCGAAGGCAGCCUACCGGCGCGCAACUGACGCUCAUGCACGAAAGCGUGGGUAUCGAACAGGAUUAGAUACCCGGGUAGUC